AACGCACGAGACCUGCGGACCUGCGGAAGGAUCAUUAAUGAGAAGCUGCCCCUCGUGGGUAGACCUCCCACCCUCUGUGAACUUACCUUUGUUGCUUUGGCAGGCCCGUCCUCUGGACCGCCGGCUUCGGCUGGCCCGUGCCUGCCGGAGGAUUCCAAACCCUGUCUGUCAGUGUUGUCUGAGUCUAUAUGAAAUCGUUAAAACUUUCAACAAUGGAUCUCUAGAUCGGAAGAGCACACG
rnacentral:misc_RNA from 1 species